rnacentral:rRNA from 1 species
UAAGACGAACCGUGCGAACGUUAUUCGGAAUCACUGGGCUUAAAGGGCGCGUAGGCGGGCUACCAAGUCCGGGGUGAAAUCCUCCAGCUCAACUGGAGAACGGCCUCGGAUACUGGUGGUCUCGAGGGAGAUAGGGGCACGCGGAACUGUGGGUGGAGCGGUGAAAUGCGUUGAUAUCCAUAGGAACUCCGGUGGCGAAGGCGGCGUGCUGGAUCUCUUCUGACGCUGAGGCGCGAAAGCCAGGGGAUCAAACGGG